UACAGAGGGGGCAAGCGUUGUUCGGAAUUACUGGGCGUAAAGGGCGCGUAGGCGGCCUUCUAAGUCAUGCGUGAAAUCCCCGGGCUCAACCCGGGAACUGCGUUUGAUACUGGAGGGCUUGAAUCCGGGAGAGGGAUGCGGAAUUCCAGGUGUAGCGGUGAAAUGCGUAGAUAUCAGGAGGAAUACCGGUGGCGAAAGCGACUCUCUGGACGGCAACUGACGCUGAGGCACGAAAGCGUGGGGAGCAAACAGG
rnacentral:rRNA from 1 species